UGAAAUCUUGCGGAGCUGAGGCUUAGCGGCUGCCGCAGCCGGAGUUUGGAGGGACUUGCCCCACCCACAGGCCAUUCGUGCAUCCUCCAGCCACAGAGGAAAUCAGAUUUCCAUCAUCUUUCACUGUGUGCCCCUAAUGGAUGUAUCACUCCCUCUCUCCUCUAGAGGGUAAAAUUCUAAACCAUCUGAAGAUUCUGAAGGGAGACAGGGACAGGAUUCGGAAUUUUUAGUCUACGGGACAAGAUGAGAUUCAGGCCCUGCUGGCAAAAUUCCAGAACCACAAGCAAGACAUAGCAUCAGUGUUUGAGCAGGGCCAUCAGUUCCUGAGAGAAAAGGAGCAGUACCUGUUGAAGUGGCUGGAUGGGAUGGAGCAAGAGCUCACUGAAGGGAGGAACAGCCAUGUCACCAAGGGCUCUGAGGAGGUCAUCCAGCUUGAGACCCUGAUUUCUGAGUUAGAGAAGAAGGCUCGGCAGCCAGCACUUGAACUUU